ACCAGCUUUGCAAAUUUAUGAGUAGACCCACAUCUACUCACUUAGAAGCUACAAAACGUGUUCUUCGAUAUAUUCAAGGAAUCUUGCAUCAUGGCAUUUCUUUUACACCUGGUCCAUUGACUCUCACAGCAUUUUUAGGUGUGGAUUGGGCCGAAGAUCCCACUAACCGUUGCUCAACCACUGGUCUUCUUGUUUCUUGGUCCCUCUCCUAUUUCAUGGUCCACCAAAAAGCAGAGUACUUUAUCUCGUUCUUCCAUAGAGGCUGAAUGUUGAGCUUUAGCCACCACAGCUGCAGAGAUCUCUUGGCUUCGAAUUUUGUUCAAUGAAUUGUGAAUUUUCUUCCUCAUGUGCCAGUCCUUUGAUAAUUUUGCAGACAUCUUCACUAAACCCCUGCCUACUCUUUCUUUCCUUCAUCAACGGCAUAAACUCCUAGUGGAUUCUUCCUCCUAUUGUUUGAGGGGGUAUGUUGCAGAUGAAGCUUCAUCUGGGUUGAAGAAUAGCUCGAGGAGGAAGAAGAAAUCAGAAGUUACUGUUGAGAUUUGAAGGCAGUUUCUAAUCUGAUGAAAUGCACUGUUCUACUAAAGGCAUCUAAUGCAAAAUGCCCGUUUUCACUUAUGCAUUUGAUUGUGUAUAACUCUGCCUAAACGGUGUCGUGAGUGUGCCUUUGAAGAGCAGUUGAAGAUGGUGCGAAAAUCAGUUGAGUAAACAGUUUCUUCUCCUUGGUUUCACAAAGCUAAUCCGCAUAAUGUGGAACCUAAAGUUAUUCAGUUAUUCUCAUAAGCUUUGUACUAUAAAUAGUGAGAUUAGCUUCAAUUUGUAAAUCAGCAAGAAAUACAAUUUUUCUAUUCAUUCA